GUCCACGCCGUAAACGAUGGAUACUAGCUGUUGGGUGCAAACUCAGUGGCUAAGCGAAAGUGAUAAGUAUCCCACCUGGGGAGUACGUUCGCAAGAAUGAAACUCAAAGGAAUUGACGGGGGCCCCGCACAAGCGGUGGAGCAUGUGGUUUAAUUCGAUGAUACGCGAGGAACCUUACCAAGGCUUAAAUGUAGAUUGACAGGUUUGGAAACAGACUUUUCUUCGGACAAUUUACAAGGUGCUGCAUGGUUGUCGU
rnacentral:rRNA from 1 species